rnacentral:rRNA from 1 species
GAUGAACGCUGGCGGCGUGCUUAACACAUGCAAGUCGAACGGAAAGGCCCUGCUUGCUUGGUGUGCUCGUGGGGCACGGGGGUGUGUAACACGAGUAUACCGCGCUCUACUCUUUGGUAUGACUUGAGGAAUGGGGCGAUAAUCCCAUACGGCCACCUCUCCUGCGUCGUGGGGGUGGGAAAGUUUCGGCGGUUGGGGAUGGACUCGCGGCUUACCAGCUUGUUGGUGGGGUAGUGGCUUACCAAGGCACGGACGGGUAGCCGGCCUGAGAGGGUGACCGGCCACAGUGGGACUGAGAGACGGCCCAGACUGCUACGGGAGGCAGCAGUGGGGAAUAUUGCACAAUGGGCGCAAGCCUGAUGCAGCGACGCCGCGUGCGGGAUGACGGCCUUCGGGUUGUAAACCGCUUUCGGUUGUGACGAAGCGGGAGUGACGGUACCGGGAGAAGAAGCACCGGCUAACUACGUG